GACGGAGGGUGCUAGCGUUGUUCGGAAUUACUGGGCGUAAAGGGCGCGUAGGCGGCCUGGUCAGUCGGAUGUGAAAGCCCGGGGCUCAACCCCGGAACGGCAUCCGAGACGGCCAGGCUGGAGACCGGGAGAGGAGGGUGGAAUAGCCAGUGUAGAGGUGAAAUUCGUAGAUAUUGGCUGGAACACCGGUGGCGAAAGCGGCUCUCUGGCCCGGGUCUGACGCUGAGGAGCGAAAGCGUGGGUAGCGAACAGG
rnacentral:rRNA from 1 species